CCUACGGGAGGCAGCAGUGAGGAAUAUUGGUCAAUGGCCGGAAGGCUGAACCAGCCAAGCCGCGUGAAGGACGAAGGUGCCAAGCAUUGUAAACUUCUUUUGUCAAGGGACAAAAUCAGGCUCGAGAGCCUGACCGAGGGUACUUGAAGAAAAAGCAUCGGCUAACUCCGUGCCAGCAGCCGCGGUAAUACGGGGGAUGCGAGCGUUAUCCGGUUUUAUUGGGUUUAAGGGGUGCGUAGGCGGACUGGUAAGUCAGCGGUAAAAUCCCGGGGCUAAACCCCGGCGAGCCGUUGAAACUGGCUGUCUUGAGAUGUCGAGAGGUAUGCGGAAUGCGCAGUGUAGCGGUGAAAUGCUUAGAUAUUGCGCAGAACUCCGAUUGCGAAGGCAGCAUACCGGCGGCGAUCUGACGCUGAGGCACGAAAGCGUGGGUAUCGAACAGGAUUAGAUACCCGUGUAGUC
rnacentral:rRNA from 1 species